GGGAAUCUACCUAUUUCUGCGGAAUAACACAGGGAAACUUGUGCUAAUACCGCAUACGCCUCGUGAGAGGGAAAGAUUUAUCGGAGAUAGAUGAGCCCGCGUCUGAUUAGCUAGUUGGUGGGGUAAUGGCCUACCAAGGCGACGAUCAGUAGCUGGUCUGAGAGGAUGAUCAGCCACACUGGGACUGAGACACGGCCCAGACUCCUACGGGAGGCAGCAGUGGGGAAUAUUGGACAAUGGGCGCAAGCCUGAUCCAGCCAUGCCGCGUGAGUGAUGAAGGCCCUAGGGUUGUAAAGCUCUUUCAGUAGGGAAGAUAAUGACGGUACCUACAGAAGAAGCCCCGGCUAACUUCGUGCCAGCAGCCGCGGUAAUACGAAGGGGGCUAGCGUUGUUCGGAAUUACUGGGCGUAAAGCGCGCGUAGGCGGACAUUUAAGUCAGGGGUGAAAUCCCGGGGCUCAACCCCGGAACUGCCUCUGAUACUGGGUGUCUAGAGUUCGGAAGAGGUAAGUGGAAUUGCGAGU
rnacentral:rRNA from 1 species